rnacentral:rRNA from 1 species
CCUACGGGUGGCAGCAGUGGGGAAUAUUGCACAAUGGGCGAAAGCCUGAUGCAGCAACGCCGCGUGAGCGAUGAUGGCCUUCGGGUCGUAAAGCUCUGUCCUCAAGGAGGAUAAUGACGGUACUUGAGGAGGAAGCCCCGGCUAACUACGUGACAGCAGCCGCGGUCAUACGUAGUGGGCGCGCGUUAUCCGGAUUUACUGGGCGUAAAGGGUGCGUAGGUGGUUUCUUAAGUCAGAGGUGAAAGGCUACGGCUCAACCGUAGUAAGCCUAUGAAACUGGGAAACUUGAGUGCAGGAGAGGAGAGUGGAAUUCCUAGUGUAGCGGUGAAAUGCGUAGAUAUUAGGAGGAACACCAGUUGCGAAGGCGGCUCUCGGGACUGUAACUGACACUGAGGCACGAAAGCGUGGGGAGCAAACAGGAUUAGAUACCCUUGUAGUC